GGCCACGUGGCCCAAUGGCAAGGCGCUUGACUACGAUUCGAGCUUUAAAUCCUCAAAGUCGUGAAAUCAAGAGAUUCCAGGUUCGACCCCUGGCGUGGUCA